AUGGAAACUACUGAACAAUCAGAGCUGCCGAUGGACUGUGAAGUGGAGGUCGCUGUGGCUGAUUCACCUGAGCAGGGAAAGGAUUUCAGGGUGGAUGAUGCGCAAGUUUGUUUGGAGACAGACACAUCAGAUUCCCAAGAGGAAAAGGCUAUGCUUGACAAAUUAUUAACCGACCUGCCAAAUGAGACAAUUGAGACUGACAAGCCUGACUGCUCUGACACCAGUGUUUGCCCUGAAAUGCCUUGUCAGGAUCAAAAGGAAGCUUUGAUAUUAGAACCAGGGCAUGAAGAGCUCAACAGGAAUGAGUCAAUCACUUCAUCUGUGUCCGACACACUCUCUAGUGCUGACAGUGUUUACGAGAACGAGGCCCAUCGUAAGAGGCAGGACACGCCAGAACAAGACCCUGAGCAAGAACAAAUCCCUGAGCCAGAGAAGUAUCCUGUGCCAGAGCAAGACCCUGAGCCCGAGCAGUAUCCUGAGCGACAGCAAGAGCCUGAACAAGAGAAAUACCCUGAAGCAGAACAAGACUCUGAACUAGAGCAAUACCCUGAGCCUGAAGAAGACCUUGAACUGGGGGACUACCCUGAGCCAGAACAAGACCCUGAACUAGACCAUUACCCUGAGCCAGAGCAAUACCCUGAGCUAGAAUUAUACCCUGAACCAGAGCCUGAGGAUGAGAAAAAUAAGGUUAAUCCCGAAAAUGAUAGCUAUCAACAUCUGGCAAUAGACACAGAGGAAGACCCAGAAGGCCAUGACAUCCUAUUUGAACCACCCAUUACAGAAGAGUCAGUAUUAGAGCAGUGCAUUAGACAAGAGGCAAUGUCAGAUGUAUCCAAUGAGUCUUGCCAUGACCUUGACCCUGACGAAAUGGACGAAUGUCUGAGAGUUGAGAUUGCAGCGGCUUCCUCAGAUAGUGACACAGAUGAAAAAUGGAGAACAAUAUUCUCCUCUUCUAUAAAUAAAGAAGACGAUGACUCAUAUUUGGACAGUCUUCAGCUGAGUGCCCAGGGACUUUUUGUGCAGAAAGUUGAGGUAACAGACUUUGAAGAACAAGACAAUCACAACUUUGAAGAGGUCCGUUUUGAGGUUCCACAAGUGGAGGAAGUUCUGGAACAACCGGAUGAUAAAGUUUCCUUUCCGACUCCUCCUCAAGAGGUUAAAUAUAACCCUUUAGGCCUUCAAGGAUUGUCCAAAAUCUCUGAGGAUGAGAGUGAAAAUGGCAGAGAUGCCAACUAUAACCACCAACAGCACAUCAAUUCAGAUUCAAACAAGAAACUACCUAAAGACUUCUGUGUGAUACAGGAGACCAAGAGCGAGAAUGUCAGCACAGAGCAUGUGGACUUCCAGCUGGCUCGUAAACAGUGGAAGGAAAUGGAGGAGCAAACCAUGAACAAGAUCGUCUUACCCACAACCAAGCAACCCAGUUUUCAUGGCAGCCACAGUUUUAUGUACACACCAGUUCGCAACAUUGAAAGAACCCAGAAGAAAGCACAUGAUCUGGAGAGCUUGAAUCUGGUUGGGGAUUAUCCUCACACCCAAUUCAGCCCUUGCUCAGAGGAUUCUGGCAUGGAUGAUUCCAGUUACAGGUCUCCUUACGAUGAUCCAGAAACACCAGUUGAAAGGGAGAUUCGCAUAUCAAUAGAAAGGGAGGAAAACUUCAGAAGAGAAAGGGGCAUCUCUAGGAUGGGGAAAUCAACUGACUGCGCUCCAUCACGAAAUAUUCCCAGGUCCAUAAGCACUCCUCUCACACCAUCAUUUAUCAUCACCUCCUCACCCACAAAGGAACCACUGAAAAAUGAAGUGUCAGCAAACAACGUUAUCAUUCUUGACCCUAGCAAUGAUUUUUCCUCCAGCCCCAGACAUGGCAAAGACAACGUGGCAGCUCGGUCUGGUGAGUGGCGUUCUGAGGACAAUGGCUCCAACGUCAUUAUCCUAGAGACAUCCAAUCUGAUUAUUCGCAGUGCCUCAGACUUCUCCCUCAACAAAGCCUGUGAGCAGCCCCAAGAAAAAAUGUUCCUGAACAACCCCUUUUUCAAGCUGCGUUCAAGAAGCUCAAUAUCGCUGGUGGAUGAAGAGAUUAAGAUGGUAAAGCAGAGGGAGGAAGAGCUGAGGAAAGAGAGGGCAAAUCUGUACGGCAAAGACAGGUUCAAUACAGAAAGGAUGCUGUCAAAUCACAUGGACACUUUGGCAUUUGACAAUUCAGUUGAUGUACCAGUGAAGUGCAAGUCCUCACCAUCAUCCCCAAUGAAAACAGCCUAUAGGAUGGAUCGCUCUGCUUUAUCCUGCGAUCACAGAGUAAGCUCCUGCUCAAACACAAUCAUAAUCAUCAACAAAAAUGAUGUAAUAUUCUUUUGUUUGUAUUAUACCUACUGA
rnacentral:lncRNA from 15 species